GAUGAACGCUAGCGAUAGGCUUAACACAUGCAAGUCGAGGGGCAGCAUGAUCUUAGCUUGCUAAGGUUGAUGGCGACCGGCGCACGGGUGCGUAACGCGUAUGCAACUUGCCUUACAGAGGGGGAUAACCCGUUGAAAGACGGACUAAAACCGCAUACACUUGUAUUAUUGCAUGAUAUUACAAGGAAAUAUUUAUAGCUGUAAGAUAGGCAUGCGUCCCAUUAGCUUGUUGGUGAGGUAACGGCUCACCAAGGCAACGAUGGGUAGGGGAACUGAGAGGUUUAUCCCCCACACUGGUACUGAGACACGGACCAGACUCCUACGGGAGGCAGCAGUGAGGAAUAUUGGUCAAUGGGCGAGAGCCUGAACCAGCCAAGUCGCGUGAAGGAAGACUGUCCUAAGGAUUGUAAACUUCUUUUAUACGGGAAUAACGGGCGAUACGAGUAUUGCAUUGAAUGUACCGUAAGAAUAAGCAUCGGCUAACUCCGUGCCAGCAGCCGCGGUAAUACGGAGGAUGCGAGCGUUAUCCGGAUUUAUUGGGUUUAAAGGGUGCGUAGGUUGUUCGGUAAGUCAGCGGUGAAACCUGAGCGCUCAACGUUCAGCCUGCCGUUGAAACUGCCGGGCUUGAGUUCAGUGGCGGCAGGCGGAAUUCGUGGUGUAGCGGUGAAAUGCAUAGAUAUCACGAGGAACUCCGAUCGCGAAGGCAGCUUGCCAUACUGCGACUGACACUGAAGCACGAAGGCGUGGGUAUCAAACAGGAUUAGAUACCCUGGUAGUCCACGCAGUAAACGAUGAUUACUAGGAGUUUGCGAUAUACCGUCAAGCUUCCACAGCGAAAGCGUUAAGUAAUCCACCUGGGGAGUACGCCGGCAACGGUGAAACUCAAAGGAAUUGACGGGGGCCCGCACAAGCGGAGGAACAUGUGGUUUAAUUCGAUGAUACGCGAGGAACCUUACCCGGGAUUGAAAUGUAGAUGACGGAUGGUGAAAACCGUCUUCCCUUCGGGGCUUCUAUGUAGGUGCUGCAUGGUUGUCGUCAGCUCGUGCCGUGAGGUGUCGGCUUAAGUGCCAUA
rnacentral:rRNA from 1 species